rnacentral:rRNA from 1 species
CGGCGAAAGUCGACUUCCGCAAGGACAUCUGCAGAGGUGCUGCAUGGCUGUCGUCAGCUCGUGUCGUGAGAUGUUGGGUUAAGUCCCGCAACGAGCGCAACCCUUGUUCUCUGUUGCCAUCAGGUUAAGCUGGGCACUCUGAGGAGACUGCCGGUGACAAACCGGAGGAAGGUGGGGAUGACGUCAAGUCAGCAUGGCCUUUAUGUCCAGGGCUACACACGUGCUACAAUGGCCGGUACAAACCGUCGCGAGCCCGUGAGGGGGAGCUAAUCGGAGAAAGCCGGUCUCAGUUCGGAUUGCAGGCUGCAACUCGCCUGCAUGAAGUUGGAAUCGCUAGUAAUCGCGGAUCAGCAUGCCGCGGUCGAAUACGUUCCCGGGCCUUGUACACACCGCCCGUCACAUCACGAAAGCUGGCUGUACUAGAAAUCGCUGCGCUAACCCGCAAGGGGGGCAGGCGCUUAAGGUAUGGUCAGUGAUUGGGGUGAAGUCGUAACAAGGUAGGCGUAGAUGA